AGAGUUUGAUCAUGGCUCAGGACGAACGCUGGCGGCGUGCUUAACACAUGCAAGUCACGGGGGCCCGCAAGGGCAACCGGCGAACGGGUGCGUAACACGUGAGCAAUCUGCCGUGCUCAGGGGGAUAGCCGGCCCAACGGCCGGGUAAUACCGCAUACGCUCGUUUUCGGGAGUCCGAGGACGAGGAAACCUCCGGGGGAGCGCGAGGAGCUCGCGGCCUAUCAGCUAGUUGGCGGGGUAAUGGCCCACCAAGGCGACGACGGGUAGCUGGUUUGAGAGAGCGACCAGCCACACUGGGACUGAGAAACGGCCCAGACUCCUACGGGAGGCAGCAGUGAGGAAUUUUCCGCAAUGGGCGAAAGCCUGACGGAGCGACGCCGCGUGUGGGAAGAAGGCCUUCGGGUCGUAAACCACUGUCGAAGGGGACGAUAAUGACGGUACCCUUGGAGGAAGCCCCGGCUAACUACGUGCCAGCAGCCGCGGUAAUAC
rnacentral:rRNA from 1 species